rnacentral:rRNA from 1 species
UACGUAGGGGGCUAGCGUUGUCCGGAAUCAUUGGGCGUAAAGAGCGUGUAGGCGGUCAGGUAGGUCGGUUGUGAAAACUGGAGGCUCAACCUUCAGAGGUCGACCGAAACCCCCUGGCUAGAGUCCGGGAGAGGAGAGUGGAAUUCCUGGUGUAGCGGUGAAAUGCGCAGAUAUCAGGAAGAACACCCGUGGCGAAAGCGGCUCUCUGGAACGGUACUGACGCUGAGGAGCGAAAGCAUGGGGAGCGAACAGG